AAUCAACGCUGGCGGCGUGCCUCAGACAUGCAAGUCGAACGCGAAAGUUCCCUUCGGGGGAUGAGUAGAGUGGCGCACGGGUGAGUAACACGUAGGUAAUCUACCUUCGGAUGGGGAAUAACAACCGGAAACGGUUGCUAAUACCGCAUAAUGCAGCGGCACCUAAUGGUGACAGUUGUUAAAGCGGGGGGAUCGAAAGACCUCGCGUCUGAAGAGGAGCCUGCGGCGGAUUAGCAGUUGGUAGGGUAACGGCCUACCAAGGCUACGAUCCGUAGCCGGCCUGAGAGGGCGGUCGGCCACACUGACACUGACAUACGGGUCAGACUCCUACGGGA
rnacentral:rRNA from 1 species